UGGGGAAUAUUGGACAAUGGGCGCAAGCCUGAUCCAGCCAUACCGCGUGGGUGAAGAAGGCUUUCGGGUUGUAAAGCCCUUUUGUUGGGAAAGAAAUCCAGCCGGCUAAUACCUGGUUGGGAUGACGGUACCCAAAGAAUAAGCACCGGCUAACUUCGUGCCAGCAGCCGCGGUAAUACGAAGGGUGCAAGCGUUACUCGGAAUUACUGGGCGUAAAGCGUGCGUAGGUGGUCGUUUAAGUCCGUUGUGAAAGCCCUGGGCUCAACCUGGGAACAGCAGUUGGUACUGGACGACUAGAGUGUGGUAGAGGGUAGCGGAAUUCCUGGUGUAGCAGUGAAAUGCGUAGAGAUCAGGAGGAACAACCAUGGCGAAGGCAGCUACCUGGACCAACACUGACACUGAGGAACGAAAGCGUGGGGAGCAAACAGG
rnacentral:rRNA from 1 species